AUUUCCUUGGAAUAAAGAGAACGGUGGCGAUGGUGCUUCUUCCUCUGCCCCCCUUCGCUCGUAGAUCGCACUGGGCGGUGGUCAAUCAAUGAUGAUUCAACCUCUCUCCUUCUCUCUGAUGCGGCAGCGUUGAGGUAUAAAUGCAGCAAUCAUCUCUCCUCUCUCUCCUCAUCUCCUCCUCCUCCCUCACGGGCACCUCCUUUGUUGCACCUGUACCUCCCUCGGCGCGAUAUUAGCCUGCGAGGGCAGAAGAAGACACGGAGGGGGGAAAAGGACAAAUUGGAGCGAGCUCGAUUUGUCCGGAAGCAUUCUAGGGCAAAAGCCGCGUUUUUGACGGAGGCGGGGAGAUUAAAGGUGGGGGAAUAUCUCGAGCGGGCAUCUUCGCUUUCCGGAUUCUGGGUCGGGGCGCUCGAGUGGGGGAAAAGGUGCGAUCUUUGAUGCGAUGGCUUGAGUUCUGCUGCUGUUCCCGUCUUGCUCGCUGAUACAGUGAUAGAUCUGAAGUGGAAGAUAAAGUUAUAAUCUUGUUCUUGUUUCUGGGACAAAGUAAGGAUAAAUCGUUUACUGUAGCCGUGUCUGAAGAUCCACUGCCAAGGUUGGAGACAUCGAUCGACAUGAAUGAGAACAAGUUUGUGUUGAAUAGCCAUCAUGAUGGCGGUGAAUGGCAAUUUAACACCCCUGCGAUGAGCAUGGUGCCGCUGCUGCCGAACGCCCCUUCUCUUGCAGGCGGCCUCAUGAAUCAGAUAACUCGAUCGUCGUAUCUUUCGACUCCUAUGGUGGAGGUCUUUAGCCCUGGUCAAUGGAACCACCACCCUACUAGUUCACCAAACAUGGCCCUUGGAGAAAGCAAUUUCGCAAGCACGAGCUCCAUCAACAGCAUACCAGUUGGAAAACCAGUAGCAAUAUCACCCAGAGGGAUGCUAGUAUCGACUGAACCGAGAAUUUUCCCCACCAGCCUGCCUCAUUUCCCUGUUGAUUCAGCUUUUGUCGAGAGGGCAGCAAGGUUCUCAUGUUUUGGUAGUGGUAAUUUUAGCGGCAUAAACUUCUUCGGUUCGUCUCCAGCAAUGGCUCCUUCAAACAAUGAAGGCAUUGGGGAUCAGGUUCAGAAGGAUGAAUUGCUGCAAGUGGAUCAUGAAUCGUUUAAUGGAAGCACAAUGAAAAACCAAGGAGACCAAAACUCUCAGAUCGGCAAUGGUGAAUCGCGUGUGGUGAUUUUUCCUGAAGAUGGCCUAGAAGGAAAUACUGGUUCAACUGAUGCAGCUUUAAAUUCAUCGUCUAGUGACCGUGGAGUGAAUAAGAGGAGAAAAACCGUACCGGAUAUUGAAAGGGAUCCAGUGCAAGGAGGCCGGCAAUCUUCCUCAGAAACCACAAAGGAGAACAUUGAGAAUAAACAAAAAGUAGAGCAGAUCAAUUCUAAACAAACCGAAAAGAAUGGGAAAGAUAACUCAGAAUUUGUCAAGGAGGGCUACGUACAUGUUAGAGCACGGCGUGGACAAGCAACUAACAGUCACAGCCUUGCAGAAAGAGUAAGGAGGGAAAAAAUAAGUGAAAGGAUGAAGUAUCUUCAAGAACUCGUGCCGGGCUGUAGCAAGGUCACCGGAAAGGCAGUUAUGCUGGAUGAAAUCAUAAACUAUGUUCAGUCGCUCCAAAGGCAGGUAGAGUUUCUCUCGAUGAAGCUUGCAGCUGUGAAUCCACAACUAGACUUCGGCAUAGAAGGCCUUCUUGCUAAAAAUCUUCUACGUGCACACGGUAGUUCCUCAUCAGCAACAGGAUUCUCGCCGGAGAUGAUAUAUCCACAAGCAUAUCCAUCUCAGCACAAUUUGGUACACACUGGAAUUUCUGCAAUGGCUAGCCAUUCAGACACAUUUAGGAGAGCAAUAAGUACACAAUCGACGGCAAGUGGUUAUAAAGAAUCUCCACUGCAGGUUCAACCGAUGCACAUCCCUUGGAAUGAAGAGCUCAUCACACAAAUGGCAUACGGUGCCAAUCCUUCCAAUCCGCAGAACAUGGAUAGUAAAGCUGAUGACUUUGCCAUAUAGAACGAUCACUAUUCAUGCGGUGAUGCUCAGUCCCUAUGCAUCCUAGCUUCCUACCAAGUGGUUACCUAGAUGCUCAAGUUCAAUAAAAUUCCCUGUGCAUAUAUAUAUCUUCCAAUAUAUGCGGAACUGUUGUAUGGCUUGUAGGGUUUGAUCAUCUGGAUAAGAGGUAAUAGGAGAUGGAAUGAAGCACGGCGAGUCGUGUGUGUAUUCACUAUUAAAUCGUAAGGGGGCUCGCGAAGGAGAUCCGACCAAGAUCUGCUGGUGGUUGGCCUUGGACCACCAUGAACAUAAUUGCCUCCAAAAAGACUCUUUAAUAUCUGUUAUUGGUGACUUUUGCUCAGUCUUUUGGUUAAGAAACAAGUGAUAGAUUUGUUGUUAAUUGAGUUGGACCAUCAGUAGUUGCUGUUGCUGCUGUUCUCAGUUUUGAGUGCAUGCAAUUAUUUCUUCUCUUA